CUCCUGAAGCUGAAUCGUUAGAGUACUUCAAUUCGAUUGUUUCCCACGUGGCAAUGAAAGCUUGAUGCCACGUAAUGGCCUAGAAACGGUGUCCGCUUUUGUAGUUGUCUCUUUCAGUUCUGUUUCUUCGAAUCGGCGAGAAAUUAAUUUCUAAUCAUUGAUUCCAUUUUAUUUUUGUCACCCUAGCUAAGAAACGCAUACAUUCAUCUCUUCCGUAACAUUGGAGUGCAGAAGAGAAGAUUACAGUAAUAGCAAUGCACAAAGACCAUAACCAUUCUUCAAGUGCACCGACAACACCAAGAAUUCGCCAUCGGAAGCGUUCUAAUGAGAUUCCGAAUGAGUUGAGCAAAUUGAAUGGAAUCCAUUUGCUCAGUGAUGACCAAGAUAAAUACAAAUCAAUGUGGAUUCGAGCAAACUCGUCUUUGUGGAUGCUUGGGGGUUUUCUGUUUAUUCUUUACUUGGGACAUCUUUACAUUUGGGCUGCAGUUGUUGUAAUCCAAAUAUUUAUGGCUAGGGAGCUCUUUAAUCUACUCAGAAGAGCUCAUGAAGAUAGACGUCUUCCUGGGUUUAGACUUCUGAAUUGGCAUUUUUUCUUCACAGCUAUGCUUUUUGUUUAUGGCCGGAUUAUCAGUCAACGACUCGUGAACACAGUAACUUCUGAUAAAUUCUUUUAUAGGCUUGUGGGCCGUAUCAUCAAGUACCAGAUGGUCAUUUGCUACUUUUUAUAUAUUGCAGGUUUUAUGUGGUUCAUUCUUACAUUGAAGAAGAAGAUGUACAAGUAUCAAUUUGGGCAGUAUGCUUGGACACACAUGAUACUCAUUAUAGUGUUUACUCAGUCUGCCUUCACUGUAGCCAAUAUUUUUGAAGGGAUCUUCUGGUUUCUUCUCCCAGCAUCACUUAUUGCUAUUAAUGAUGUUGCUGCUUAUUUCUUUGGUUUCUUUUUUGGAAAAACACCUUUGAUCAAAUUAUCUCCAAAGAAAACAUGGGAAGGUUUUAUUGGAGCAUCAGUUGCAACUGUGAUCUCAGCAUUUGUGUUAGCAAACAUCUUUGGGAAUUUCCAGUGGUUGACAUGUCCAAGAAAGGACUUAUCAACAGGGUGGCUUCAUUGUGAUCCUGGCCCGCUAUUUAAACCAGAGUACUAUUCCUUACCAGGAUGGAUGCCAGACUGGUUCCCAUGGAAAGAGAUAUCAGUUUUGCCAGUGCAGUGGCAUGCUUUAUGGCUGGGUUUGUUUGCAUCGAUUAUAGCACCUUUUGGUGGCUUUUUUGCUAGUGGUUUCAAGAGAGCUUUUAAGAUCAAGGAUUUUGGCGAUAGCAUUCCUGGACAUGGUGGAUUUACUGAUAGAAUGGACUGUCAGAUGAUCAUGGCUGUUUUUGCUUACAUCUAUCAUCAGUCAUUUGUUUUUCCACAAGACUAUACAGUUGAGAUGUUUUUGGACCAGAUAUUGGGGAGUCUUACUUUGGAGGAGCAGAAAGAUUUGUAUAGGAAGCUAGGGGAGAUAUUCCAAGAGAGAGGCAACAGAAGCUGCAGUAAAGUUUUGUAGACCUUUGUUUAUCCUAGAUCGCCGUGUAUUCCGGUGUUAUUUCGGAAGGUGAUGUGAGGAAGAUUGAUUGAAGUUCUUUCUUUUAUAAAUUGAUUCUUGUUCCUCUUUUUCUAACACAAUUCUUUCAGUUGUAUACACCCUUAAACACUGACCUGUGUAUCCAGUCAGCUCAUCUUUAUUAUCUUUAUUUUUAUAUCUUUGAAGUCAUGUAUUCAAGAAUCAAGCUGAAUGCACAUAUCAUAAGAAUAAGCCUUAUCCGUAUCAGAGAAUUUGGUUACAAUGCGACCAAUUCUGUCAAAGCCCUUCCAGUCAACUAAGGGGGAACAUGCAAUAAGAUUACAGUUCUUUAACUGGUAUUUAACAGCAUUAUGGUCUUCGUCUUGUAGGAACAAGCACUACCAGGGAACAAAAAGAGCACAUUAAAUCUCUUAUGUUAAAUGUCUAAAGUUUAGCCUCAAAUUGAAUAUGUUGAAAAGAGGUGUCUAAUUUUCUGCAAGUAGCUGAAACGAGCCCCAGAUUUCAUGGCAAUUGAUUACAAAAUAAAGAAAAAAGAAAAUGAUAAAUUAUAUUUUAGUCCCUAUAUUUUAACAUGAUUGAUAGGUCAGUUCUCUAUUUCUAGAACCGAAAACUUAAACUCCCUAAAAUAUGUUAAAAUCCAUUAAAAAGCAGAGAUAAAUCUGAACAAAUUCUAAGGAAUAUAGUUGCAAAUGAGAAAUCACAGACAUUAAGUCAUCCAUUAAUUCCUCCCCUUUUCACAGAUAGAGACGCAUAAUGCAAGCCAGUGUAAACAAACCAAAAAUUGUGUGAAACCCUAACGCUAAGAAUUGGGUAUUAUAGGAAAAACCUGCAAGUUGGAGAGCUGGUGCUCAAGGGAUUCAAGAGCAUUGCGGAUAAUAAAAAGCCUUUCAGUCUCUUCAUCCUCUUCGUCUACUUCACUCGAAGACCCCAUUAAGAGACUGAGAAUUAGAGUUCUGUUCCUUCUCUCCCUUCAAAACGACACCCUCUUCAGCACGUUCUUUUUCUAUUUUGCUCUGUUCAGAAGAAAGAGAGUUGCCAUUGAUAUUGUUGGUGCCUGUGCUUGCUUUGUGGAUGUAAUUGGUGAUCUUCAACCACAAUUCUAUGGCUUUAGCCAAUAUUACCUCCACUCCCUCUUCUUCCAUGGCUGUUUUCUUCCUCCUGUGUCUUCCCUGGCAAGAGGGUAUCGCAUAUCCUACAAAAAGAAAUGCUCUUUGGGCUUGGUGGAGAGGGUGAGGUUUUAGGGGAGUUUUUAACAUUAAAAAUAUUUGUUUCUUCUUUUUAAGAGAUUUUAUAGCACGGAAGGAUCUCAUUUUGAUUGAAUAAAAAUAAUAGGAAUAAGUGUUUGAUUUUAAGAAGGGAGGCACUGAUUAAUAAAAUUUAGAGAUUAAAAUUGGUUCUCAUAGUCUCCGAGACAGUAAUGCCAGCUGGAAUCCGAUCUUUCUCAGGUCCAACAGCCACAGAAGAAGAGGUAACGCAGUGGACUUACGAGAACAUCUAGGAACUGCUGGAUGAUGGGUUUGGCGGGAAGUAACGGCAGUUUGUGAAAAUUUAAGCGAUUCUUCUUGUUAUUGUUGAAUUGGAGGGAAGCAGAAAGAGAAUCUUGCUCAGGAAUUGUGGGGCUUGUUCGUUCCAAUUUAGAAGCGUUCUACUUCUGGACCUGAAAUAAAGUCUAUGACUGUUUGUUCCCGAAACGAGGAGCUCCAGUUAGCUGUUAUAAAACGAUGAGAUACAGAAAAUUAGAAAUAUCUUUUCACUAUUUUAUUCGAAACGCGCGUCGUUCUUCGAAAAACUGACAACUAAAUGGCGCGAGUGAGGAAACGACGUCGCUGCAUUAACAAAGGUUUUGGGUGUUUCAGAUUAUUUAACAUCACGCCUGCGCUAUACACCGGUGACCAUGGAUAGCCACCGGCGGCAAAUGCCCCGAUAAAAUCCGGUAUAUCGGUUUCGCGGGGUUGAGUAGUGGUGGGGUCUCGACUUGGUCGCGCCUCGUCUCGGUAUGGCCCAUCAGCGACGGCAGCUAUGUUCAACGGCUUGGUAAGGAAGUGGAAGAAGAAGUGGAUCCACGUGUCUCCAUCUACCACCGUACUCCCACUCCCAGUUCAACAGCCACACCGCCAACACCUCUUGUCUCCUCCUCUGUCGGUGGACACCUCUGUCCCCGGCUACCGCCGCGGACGCUGCUUCGUCAGAGGAGCCUCCCAAAUGCAAGUUCCGCUACACUCCCUCUUUUUACCAAGUCGAGCAUGAUUUGAUUGCUUUCACGUCUCAAGAUUGCGGUACUAGAAGAACGGGGAAAGAGAGAUAAAAGGGUUGAUCAUGAAGCUGAGAUAAGCGGGAUCAGCCAGUUCAGAGCACUGCAAACCACCAAGAACGAUGGGCUAACCAGUGCUACUGCUUUAGAGACAGAAACCCAGGUGCCACUAUUUACCAUUUGUGCCUCUUCUUACUGGCUUUGCUUAUAUAUACACCUGUGAUCUAUAUAUGCCUUUGUCUUUGUCCAUUGUUCUUGUGGUAGGGAUUUUAGUUGUUUGUCAUGUUUCAUGAGAAUGGAUGUUUUUCACCUUUA